rnacentral:rRNA from 1 species
UCCCAGCAAUGGGGGAACCGGCGUAAGGGGCAGUAAGGCGUGGGUACCUACCCUGGGGUCCGGGAUAGCCGUCCGAGAGGGCGGGUAAUACCGGAUGAUCUCGGGAGAGCAAAGCUCCGGCGCCCUGGGAGGGGCCCACGUGAUAUUAGCUAGUUGGCGGGGUAACGGCCCACCAAGGCGGAGAUGUCUAGCGGGUGUGAGAGUACGACCCGCGCCACUCGCACUGAGACACUGGCGAGACACCUACGGGUGGCUGCAGUCGAGGAUCUUCGGCAAUGUGCGCAAGCACGACCGAGCGACGCCGCGUGGGCGACGAAGGCCUUCGGGUUGUAAAGCCCUGUCGAGGGGGAAAAAAGCCCGCAAGGGUGUGAUCUAUCCCUGGAGGAAGCUCGGGCUAAGUUCGUGCCAGCAGCCGCGGUAAGACGAACCGAGCGAACGUUGUUCGGAAUCACUGGGCUUAAAGGGCGCGUAGGCGGGCUGCCAAGUUUGGGGUGAAAUCCUCCGGCUCAACCGGGGAAGGGCCUCGAAUACUGGCGGUCUGGAGGGAGGUAGGGGCGUGCGGAACUGUANGUGGAGCGGUGAAAUGCGUUGAUAUCUACAGGAACUCCGGUGGCGAAGGCGGCACGCUGGACCUUUUCUGACGCUGAGGCGCGAAAGCCAGGGGAGCGAACGGGAUUAGAUACCCCGGUAGUCCUGGCCCUAAACGUUGAGAACUAGGUAGUAGGCCAGACAUGGGCUUACUGCCGGAGCAAAAGUGCUAAGUUCUCCGCCUGGGGAGUAUGGUCGCAAGGCUGAAACUC